CCUACGGGAGGCAGCAGUGGGGAAUUUUGGACAAUGGGCGAAAGCCUGAUCCAGCCAUGCCGCGUGCAGGAUGAAGGCCUUCGGGUUGUAAACUGCUUUUGUACGGAACGAAAAGCCUCUUUCUAAUAAAGAGGGGUCAUGACGGUACCGUAAGAAUAAGCACCGGCUAACUACGUGCCAGCAGCCGCGGUAAUACGUAGGGUGCGAGCGUUAAUCGGAAUUACUGGGCGUAAAGCGUGCGCAGGCGGUUAUAUAAGACAGUUGUGAAAUCCCCGGGCUCAACCUGGGAACUGCAUCUGUGACUGUAUAGCUAGAGUACGGUAGAGGGGGAUGGAAUUCCGCGUGUAGCAGUGAAAUGCGUAGAUAUGCGGAGGAACACCGAUGGCGAAGGCAAUCCCCUGGACCUGUACUGACGCUCAUGCACGAAAGCGUGGGGAGCAAACAGGAUUAGAUACCCUGGUAGUCCACGCCCUAAACGAUGUCAACUGGUUGUUGGGAAUUCACUUUCUCAGUAACGAAGCUAACGCGUGAAGUUGACCGCCUGGGGAGUACGGCCGCAAGGUUGAAACUCAAAUGAAAUUGAGG
rnacentral:rRNA from 1 species